UGAGUAACGCGUAAAGAACUUGCCUUACAGACUGGGACAACAUUUGGAAACGAAUGCUAAUACCGGAUAUUAUGAUUGGGUCGCAUGAUCUGGUUAUGAAAGCUAUAUGCGCUGUGAGAGAGCUUUGCGUCCCAUUAGUUAGUUGGUGAGGUAACGGCUCACCAAGACGAUGAUGGGUAGCCGGCCUGAGAGGGUGAACGGCCACAAGGGGACUGAGACACGGCCCUUACUCCUACGGGAGGCAGCAGUGGGGAAUAUUGGACAAUGGACCAAAAGUCUGAUCCAGCAAUUCUGUGUGCACGAAGAAGUUUUUCGGAAUGUAAAGUGCUUUCAGUUGGGAAGAAGUCAGUGACGGUACCAACAGAAGAAGCGACGGCUAAAUACGUGCCAGCAGCCGCGGUAAUACGUAUGUCGCAAGCGUUAUCCGGAUUUAUUGGGCGUAAAGCGCGUCUAGGCGGCUUAGUAAGUCUGAUGUGAAAAUGCGGGGCUCAACCCCGUAUUGCGUUGGAAACUGCUAAACUAGAGUACUGGAGAGGUAGGCGGAACUACAAGUGUAGAGGUGAAAUUCGUAGAUAUUUGUA
rnacentral:rRNA from 1 species